UUGCACGCUGGCGGCAGGCCUAACACAUGCCAGUCGAACGGUAACAGGAAGAAGCUUGCUUCUUUGCUGACGAGUGGCGGCCGGGUGAGUAAUGUCUGGGAAACUGCCUGAUGGAGGGGGAUAACUACUGGAAACGGUAGCUAAUACCGCAUAACGUCGCAAGACCAAAGAGGGGGACCUUCGGGCCUCUUGCCAUCGGAUGUGCCCAGAUGGGAUUAGCUAGUAGGUGGGGUAACGGCUCACCUAGGCGACGAUCCCUAGCUGGUCUGAGAGGAUGACCAGCCACACUGGAACUGAGACACGGUCCAGACUGCUACGGGAGGCAGCAGUGGGGAAUAUUGCACAAUGGGCGCAAGCCUGAUGCAGCCAUGCCGCGUGUAUGAAGAAGGCCUUCGGGUUGUAAAGUACUUUCAGCGGGGAGGAAGGGAGUAAAGUUAAUACCUUUACUCAUUGACGUUACCCGCAGAAGAAGCACCGGCUAACUCCGUG
rnacentral:rRNA from 1 species